GAUCGGGAAAAAUUCCCUUCUAAAAAUCAGGCCCCGCCCACCGGGUUUAGCCCCGCCCCCUAUAGGGAUAAUAAUGAUUCCCAUUGUCACGUGAGGCCCCGCCCACUUUUAUUGUGUGAGCAACCGAGUGUCCCCUGUCCCCAAGGGUCCCAUUGUCCCCAAGGUGUCACUCACACCUGUCCUGUGUCCCCAGGGUGCCACCCACACCUGUCCCGUGUCCCCAAGGGUCCCAUUGUCCCCAAGGUGUCACUCACACCUGUCCCCUGUCCCCAAGGGUCCCAUUGUCCCCAAGGUGCCACCCACCCAUGUCCCGUGUCCCUGAGGGUGUCCCUGUGUCCCCAAGGGUGCCACCCACCCAUGUCCCAUUGUCCCCAAGGGUGUCACCUACACCUGUCCCCAUGUCCCUGAGGGUGUCCCAUUGUCCCCAAGGGUCCCUUAAUUAGGGUCCAGUGUCCCCAGGGGUCACACCCACCUGUGUCCCCAAGGUGCCACUCACCUGUGUCCCAUAUUCCUAAAGGUGUACCUGUGUCCCCAAGGGUGUCAGCUACACACCUGUCCCAUGUCCCUAAGGUGCCACCUGUGUCCCCAAGGUGUCACCUACACUUGUGUCCCCACGUCCCUGAGGGUGCCCCCCACCCCUGUCCCGUGUCCCUAAAGGUGUCCCAUUGUCCCCAAGGGUCCCUUAAUUAGGGUCCAGGGUCCCCAGGGGUUGCACCCACCUGUGUCCCAUUGUCCCCAAGGGUGCCACCCACCCCUGCCCGGUGUCCCCAAGGGUGUCACCUACACACCUGUCCCCAUGUCCCUGAGGUGCCACCUGUGUCUCCAAGGUGUCACCUACACCUGUGUCCACAUGUCCCUGAGGGUGUCCCUGUGUCCCCAAGGGUGUCACCCACCCAUAUCCCCUGUCCCCAUUGUCCCCAAGGUGCCACCCACCCCUGCCCAGUGUCCCUGAGGGUGUCCCUGUGUCCCCAAGGGUCACUCCAUC
rnacentral:lncRNA from 1 species